UACAGAGGGUGCUAGCGUUGUUCGGAAUCAUUGGGCGUAAAGCGCGUGUAGGCGGCCCGAUAAGUCCGCUGUGAAAGUCCAGGGCUCAACCCUGGGAUGCCGGUGGAUACUGUCGGGCUCGAGUCCGGAAGAGGCGAGUGGAAUUCCUGGUGUAGCGGUGAAAUGCGCAGAUAUCAGGAGGAACACCAAUGGCGAAGGCAGCUCGCUGGGACGUGACUGACGCUGAGACGCGAAAGCGUGGGGAGCAAACAGG
rnacentral:rRNA from 1 species